AAGACUAUACUUUCAGGGAUCAUUUCUAUAGUUUGUUACUAAAAUAUUGGCAAAUCUUUCAUUAUAAUCAUUGAGGUUUGUCAAUUAGAGGAAAUGC
ensembl:snoRNA U3 Small nucleolar RNA U3